rnacentral:rRNA from 1 species
GUGAGGAAUUUUCCGCAAUGGGCGAAAGCCUGACGGAGCAAUGCCGCGUGAAGGAUGAAGGCCUAUGGGUUGUAAACUUCUUUUCUCAGAAAAGAAUUAUGACGGUAUCUGAUGAAUAAGCAUCGGCUAACUCUGUGCCAGCAGCCGCGGUAAGACAGAGGAUGCAAGCGUUAUCCGGAAUGAUUGGGCGUAAAGCGUCUGUAGGUUGUUUAAAAAGUAUUCUGUCAAAGAUUAGGGCUUAACCCUAGAUAGGCAGAAUAAACUUUUAAGCUAGAGUUUGGUAGAGGCAGAGGGAAUUCCCGGUGGAGCGGUGAAAUGCGUAGAUAUCGGGAGGAACACCAAAGGCGAAGGCACUCUGCUGGGCCAAUACUAACACUGAGAGACGAAAGCGAGGGGAGCAAAUGGGAUUAGAUACCCCAGUAGUCC